GGGGAAAUAGCUCAGUGGUAGAGCACAUGCUUAGCAUAUAGCAGGUCCUGGGUUCAAUUCCCAGUGUCUCCC
rnacentral:tRNA from 1 species